rnacentral:rRNA from 1 species
AUUGAACGCUGGCGGCAGGCCUAACACAUGCAAGUCGAGCGGAUGAAGGGAGCUUGCUCCUGGAUUCAGCGGCGGACGGGUGAGUAAUGCCUAGGAAUCUGCCUGGUAGUGGGGGAUAACGUCCGGAAACGGGCGCUAAUACCGCAUACGUCCUGAGGGAGAAAGUGGGGGAUCUUCGGACCUCACGCUAUCAGAUGAGCCUAGGUCGGAUUAGCUAGUUGGUGGGGUAAAGGCCUACCAAGGCGACGAUCCGUAACUGGUCUGAGAGGAUGAUCAGUCACACUGGAACUGAGACACGGUCCAGACUCCUACGGGAGGCAGCAGUGGGGAAUAUUGGACAAUGGGCGAAAGCCUGAUCCAGCCAUGCCGCGUGUGUGAAGAAGGUCUUCGGCUUGUAAAGCACUUUAAGUUGGGAGGAAGGGCAGUAAGUUAAUACCUUGCUGUUUUGACGUUACCAACAGAAUAAGCACCGGCUAACUUCGUG